rnacentral:rRNA from 1 species
GAUAGGGGAAUCCCAAGUGCGAGGGCAUAUUCGCCCUCGCUUUUGUUGACCGUAAGGUGGUCAACGAAUAAGAGCUGGGCAAGACCGGUGCCAGCCGCCGCGGUAAUACCGGCAGCUCGAGUGAUGUCCAAUAUUAUUGGGCCUAAAGCGUCCGUAGCUGGCCGCGCAAGUCCGUCGGGAAAUCCACCUGCCCAACAGGUGGGCGUCCGGCGGAAACUGUGUGGCUUGGAACCGGAAGGCUCAGAGGGUACGUCCGGGGUAGGAGUGAAAUCCCGUAAUCCCGGACGGACCACCGAUGGCGAAAGCACUCUGAGAAGACGGCUUCGACAGUGAGGGACGAAAGCUAGGGUCUCAAACCGGAUUAGAUACCCGGGUAGUCCUAGCUGUAAACGAUGCUCGUUAGGUGUGGCACCCACUACGAGUGGGUGCUGUGCCGCAGGGAAGCCGCUAAACGAGCCG